GGGAGUAGCUCAGUUGGUAGAGCACCGGUCUCCAAAACCGGGUGUCGGGAGUUCGAGCCUCUCCUCCGACU
rnacentral:tRNA from 1 species